AGAUCGACGGGAUAGAGAGCCGUUCUGCUCCAUCAGACAUCCCAGUCGAGCUCCAGCCGACAGAUCUGAACUCUCUGGCAAGUCACGACAAUGGCCACUACCCUACUCCACUCUCCAGGCUCUACCACUCUCUGACAAGUCGCGACAACGGACACCACUCCACUCUCCGUAACAAACUCCACGUGGCCCCGAACGAUCCCUGAC
rnacentral:lncRNA from 1 species